rnacentral:rRNA from 1 species
GCAACCUACCUUAAUCAGGGGGAUAGCCCGAAGAAAUUCGGAUUAACACCGCAUAAAAACACAGGGCAGCAUUGUCCAAUGUUCAAAUAUUUAUAGGAUUAAGAUGGGCAUGCGUGACAUUAGUUAGUUGGUGAGGUAACGGCUCACCAAGACGACGAUGUCUAGGGGAUCUGAGAGGAUGACCC